rnacentral:rRNA from 1 species
UACGUAGGGACCAAGCGUUGUUCGGAUUUACUGGGCGUAAAGGGCGCGUAGGCGGCGCUGUAAGUCACUUGUGAAAUCUCCGGGCUUAACUCGGAACGGUCAAGUGAUACUGCAGUGCUAGAGUGCAGAAAGGGCAAUCGGAAUUCUUGGUGUAGCGGUGAAAUGCGUAGAUAUCAAGAGGAACACCAGUGGCGAAGGCGAGUCCCUGGACAACACCUGACACUGAGGCACGAAAGCUAGGGGAGCAAACAGG